AUUGAACGCUGGCGGCAGGCCUAACACAUGCAAGUCGAGCGGAUGAAGGGAGCUUGCUCCUGGAUUCAGCGGCGGACGGGUGAGUAAUGCCUAGGAAUCUGCCUGGUAGUGGGGGAUAACGUCCGGAAACGGGCGCUAAUACCGCAUACGUCCUGAGGGAGAAAGUGGGGGAUCUUCGGACCUCACGCUAUCAGAUGAGCCUAGGUCGGAUUAGCUAGUUGGUGGGGUAAAGGCCUUCCAAGGCGACGAUCCGUAACUGGUCUGAGAGGAUGAUCAGUCACACUGGAACUGAGACACGGUCCAGACUCCUACGGGAGGCAGCAGUGGGGAAUAUUGGACAAUGGGCGAAAGCCUGAUCCAGCCAUGCCGCGUGUGUGAAGAAGGUCUUCGGAUUGUAAAGCACUUUAAGUUGGGAGGAAGGGCAGUAAGUUAAUACCUUGCUGUUUUGACGUUACCAACAGAAUAAACACCGGCUAACUUCGU
rnacentral:rRNA from 1 species